GAAGGGAAUACAAAUUUAACAUUUGAGAAACAUCUAGAGCUUCUUUUGUUCGAAUACGAAUUUAUCAAUUAGGAAAAGAUGAAAAUGCCUCUACAACAAGCCAGAUACACUUUUUGUUUUCUGUUUGGUCGUAAUAAGUUUUAAAUAGAUUUUCCUCUUUUUUUAUUUGUUUGAAAUCGGUUUCUUCAUUUUUUGUUUCAUUGUGUUGUGUUGUUACUGAGGGUUAACGUCUAUUUGUGAUAUGUUUAUAUAUCAUUGAUAGACUUGAGAGAUGUUUUGUUUGUUUGCAUUGGAAUGUUAGUAGAUAAUUUAGUUUUAUGUACAUUUUUAUGUGUUGUUGUUUAAAGUUCUACCAGUGAUGUUUCUAUCAACUUGAAUAUGUUUAACUUGUUUAUGUUGGGAAGUUAGUAAAAGCUCUAGUUUAAAGUACACUUUUUGUGUGAUGUUGCUUAGAGUCUAUCAGUGAUAUGUUUCUAUCACUAAUUGAUAGAUUUGGAGAAUGUUAAACUUGUUUGUGUAGGGAUGUUGAACUUGUUUUUCGGCAUGCUAAUCUGUUUGUUUGCGUUAAGGUGUGUUGGUGAAUGUUUUAGUCUAUCAAUGAUAAAUGCUUUCAUAGAUAAACUUGGAGUAUGUUUAGGGAUGUUAGUAGAUACUUUAGUUUAAUGUGCAUAUUUUUUGUGAUAUUGCUUAAAGAUCUUUCAGUGAUUUAUUUUUAUCACUAACAGAUUUGGAAGAUGUUUAGAUUGCUUGCAUUGUAAUAUAUAUUUAUAAACUCUAAUUCGAACUCUAGUCUGAAGUUCAUUUUGUGUGGGAUGUACUAGUAGUAGUAGUAGUAUAUUAUUAAAAGAAAAGAGACCUAGAUUUGCAUGCAAACCCUUUCUCCUUCUCCAUUAUUCUCCCUCAUGUUUCAAUACUAGCCACCGCCAUCAUCAGGGUUUCUCUGACCGUUAAACUUUCUUGCCCCCGUUCACCGCUACAACCUCCUCUCCUAUCAGUCGUAACACGUGUAGCUCACCAACCAUAGCAGUUGUUUACCGUCACACAGUUUUCGUCAAGCCUCCACGUCUCAAGAGCCUGAGCAUCCCACUAGUUCACUAUUCGACCUUCGACAAGUGCUUCCUCUCUAUCGUGGACUCAAGUCGCAUGAUCAGUGUGUUUUCUUCCAUUCUCGAGUCGAAAGACGAAGCUUCCACCCCUCUUAGAUGCACGUUUAUAUUAUAAGUCGGUCUUCUCCUCUCCCAACUGAGACACACAUGUAUGCUUUCUCCCUCACCGAGCUGCGUAGCCACAUCUAAGCUGCAUCCCAGAUCUGAGUCGAUCUCCCUUUGUUACUCGAGCCACGUAAGCCAAGCCAUUGCAACUUCUUUUUAAACCUUUUGAGCCAACAUUUAGGGGUUUUCAGUAAGCUUUUGAAUGGGUUUUGGUUUUUCCCAUCAAAUAUCAUUUUUUGUGCUUAGCAAAUUAAUUUUUGGAAUUAGGUGAGAUUAUUUUGUUAAAGUAAAGUUAUUAUUACUUUCCCUUUAUGUUUAGGACUAAUUUAAUUAAGAAAAUUGACUGUCAACCAAGGAUUGCUAGCUAAUCUUGAGGUAACGAAUUUCUACUACCGAACCUUAGAAUGAAGUUUAAAUGUACCGUAUAAGAUGAUUUGACUAUUGAUGAGUAGUGUUCAAAUGUAGGGAUAGUUGCAAAUUUAGCCAUUAGAUGCAAAAUAAUUAAGUAUACAGUGACAUUUUUAAAAAAUUGCAAAUAUAGCAAAAUUUAUGAAAUUCUAUCAAUGAUAGAAGUUUAUCACCGAUAGUUUUGCUAUAUUUGUAAUUUCUUUUUAAAUGUUGCUAUAUCCUUAAGUAUUAUUCAUAAAAUGGUCAUCAAUUAUAAUUACCCUAAAAUGUAUUGAUGGCUUGCUACAUUGAUGACUGAACUGAGAUAUGUACUAGAAUGAUUAUAUAUAGUGGAUAUGUAUUGAACUGGAAUAUUGUUGAUAGUUUUGAUCAUAUUUUGAUUUAUUGACUAUCUUAGACUUUUUAGACUAGAAUGAAAUUCUCUGGACUAAGGGGAAGUAUAAGACUUGUAUCUAAGAAAGGUUGAAUCAUUAGCUAAGUGUUCCAAAGAGGACGUUUUGAGCAGUCUAUUCGAUAAGAUGUUGACAAUUAAGUAAAUUAGGUGUUGAGGAAAGAUUACGCGAUAAGAUUUCUUGACGUUUAUGUGGUACUAUGAGAUUAAGGUACUACGCGAGAUGAAAGAUUAGGUGAGAAGAAGUAAGGAAACUUCCCCAAAAUUUUCUAAGUUUACUUAAUGGGCCACGUGUGAAGGUUUAAGGUAAGCAUGUGCACCACUUAGAGUAUGAGCUAGCAAGCUAACAAGAGAGUUUAAGGGUGACUUAGUUAUUUUUGAACUAGUAUAUAAAAUAGUGGUCUUCAACCAAAUUCAUAAGUAUUGUUACUUUAAAAUUCUAAAGACAAAAUUUAAAGUAUUGAAGUGCUAUUGAAGUAGCUAUCUAAGAAGAAAAAGAGAAGUUUUUGAAGUUUAAGUAAUCAAGUAGUUGUAAAGGCAGGCAUGGAUAAAAGAUGUGCAUGGUGAAAUGAGGUGAAACAAUGUAUAAAAGAUGUGCAUUGGCUCUCAGCCUGAGCAACAAUGAAUGAAUCAGGAUAUUCUCGGAUGUUGAUGAUGAGAAGGCCAUCUCAGUAGUCUAAAUGUGAGAUGAGGAGUCUUUGCGUAGAGAAUGAUUUAGGUCCUUGAAGAAAGGAAUGACUGUUGACUAAUGUGUGUUCUUAUGGAAUGAGUACUUAUGCGAUUUAUUAUGUUUAUGUAAAAAAAGAAAAGAAAAGAAAAGAUGUGUUUACGUAAAAUCUACGAAAGGUAUAUUGCGAAAAGGUUUUUAUAAAACCUUCAGAGUCUUUUAGACUUAUGUUUUAAAGUUUAUUUUCCAGGCUUCAGGCGUUAACACAAGUAAGGAAAGACUGAGAAUUUGUUGGGUGAGAAGAGCUGCAAGCGUUUUGUUUUCAAUUUAAGUUAUGUACUUAUGUAAUUUUUAUUAAGUGUUGUAGAACACCUUGUUUAAAGUUAAUAAAAGUUUUUGGUUUGUCUUUUUUUUU